CAGAGCGUAGCUAAGUCAGAGUAUAGCACCUCCCUUACACCGAGAAGACGCCCGUGCAAGUCGAGCCGCACUGACAC
rnacentral:tRNA from 1 species